GGAAGUGGUGACUGUAUUAGGCCGAGCCACACGGAGACCGGCUUGGUCACUAUGGAGGAGAUAGGCAUCUUGGUGGAAAAAGCUCAGGAUGAGAUCCCAGCACUGUCUGUGUCCCGGCCCCAGACUGGCCUGUCCUUCCUGGGGCCAGAGCCCGAAGAUCUGGAGGACCUGUACAGCCGCUACAAGAAGCUACAGCAAGAGCUGGAGUUCUUGGAGGUACAAGAGGAGUACAUCAAGGAUGAGCAAAAGAACCUGAAGAAGGAAUUCCUCCACGCCCAGGAGGAGGUGAAGCGAAUUCAGAGCAUCCCGUUGGUCAUUGGGCAGUUUCUGGAGGCUGUGGAUCAGAACACAGCCAUUGUGGGCUCUACGACAGGCUCAAACUAUUACGUGCGCAUUCUGAGCACCAUAGAUCGGGAGCUGCUCAAGCCCAAUGCCUCAGUGGCCCUGCACAAGCACAGCAAUGCCCUGGUGGAUGUGCUGCCUCCCGAGGCUGACAGCAGCAUCAUGAUGCUCACAUCAGACCAGAAGCCAGACGUGAUGUACGCAGACAUUGGGGGCAUGGACAUCCAGAAGCAGGAGGUGCGGGAGGCUGUGGAGCUCCCACUUACGCACUUUGAGCUCUAUAAGCAGAUUGGCAUUGAUCCUCCCCGAGGGGUCCUCAUGUAUGGCCCACCUGGCUGCGGGAAGACCAUGUUGGCAAAGGCUGUGGCGCAUCACACAACAGCUGCAUUUAUCCGGGUCGUGGGCUCCGAGUUUGUACAGAAGUACCUGGGUGAGGGCCCCCGCAUGGUCCGGGAUGUGUUCCGCCUGGCCAAGGAGAACGCCCCUGCCAUCAUCUUCAUAGAUGAGAUUGAUGCCAUCGCCACCAAGAGAUUCGAUGCCCAGACAGGAGCUGACAGGGAAGUUCAGAGAAUCCUUCUGGAGCUGCUAAAUCAAAUGGAUGGAUUUGACCAGAACGUCAAUGUCAAGGUGAUCAUGGCCACGAACAGAGCAGAUACGCUGGAUCCAGCCCUGCUGCGGCCAGGACGCCUAGACCGCAAAAUCGAAUUUCCUCUCCCUGACCGCCGCCAAAAGAGAUUGAUUUUCUCCACUAUCACCAGCAAGAUGAACCUCUCUGAGGAGGUUGACUUGGAAGACUAUGUGGCCCGGCCAGAUAAGAUUUCAGGAGCUGAUAUCAACUCCAUCUGUCAAGAGAGUGGAAUGUUGGCUGUCCGCGAGAACCGCUACAUUGUCCUGGCCAAGGACUUUGAGAAGGCGUACAAGACUGUCAUCAAGAAGGAUGAGCAGGAGCACGAGUUUUACAAGUGACCCCUCCAUACACACCCCAUACCCCACAGGGACUGAGGUUUCCCUUUGCCUCCCCAGAUGUUUAACUGCUUUGGAGAACGUGGGCCUUGAAUAGGAGCCACUGGGUCCCUCCUGACCUGACAGAUACGUGGGUGAGGUACAUGGCCUUGAUUGCGGCUUGAGAGAGAAGCAAAGACUUCUAGCCAGAUGAGUUCAGAACUGGGGAAACGGGUGGAAAAUGAAUCUCAGACAGAAGUCUUUGACCACAAAAUAAAGCCCUCACUCCCAUUUCCUGCAGGUGGAACAUUGGGUUUUAGUGAUCCUGCCUUCCUCACAUACAGGAGUAUCAGACAGACAGAGGUUUAGUCACCUGAUUCAAUUUCCCAAAAUCUUCACUGACCUUCCAGUGCCCACUAGUGUCUGCCCAGGUGUUCUUUGUCCUUGGGCACAUCGUGUCUCCCCUGGGCGUAUUGCUCUGCAUCUAAAGAAUGG